AAGUAGAGGAUGUAGAGAAAACUAGUCCUUAGCCCCUCUUCUCCCAAAGAGCAAGGAUGUGAAAAACAAGUUUUCCUCCUCUCCCAGCUUCCCUGUCUCUUUAGUAAUUUUUCCUUAGUGAAACUCAAGGUUACUUCACAACAACUCCAGUUUCUCUGUUCUGGGCAACAUGACAAGGUCACAAGACGAGCUUGAGUAAGACGUAUACCAGCUGCAAGGCCUGCUUUAGUUUGUUAACUUCCUGUUUUCCUCCCAAUGCAGCUGCAAGGUCAGCUUUAGUUUGUUAACUUCCUGUUUUCCUCCCAAUGCAGCUGCAAGGUCAGCAUAACCUGUCACUGUUUAAUUAACUGCCUUUGUUCUGCUUCUGUGAGCCUGCUUGCUUGCACCAGGAGCCUUGUGCCACUAGAUGGCCACCAUGCACAUAUAAAAGACAAGCCCUGUACUUGUCCAGGGCUCAGCUUUUUGUGUGUGAAUCCACUGAGCCAGUGUGCACCUUAAUAAAAUCCUCUAGUUUCACCCACUGGCCUCUCCUGCCUCCUGUUUUCUGCAACACUUUGGUGAGCCAGCCAGGAGAUGGAGAUGACAGGUUUGCUGUCUACUUUGCCUUUAGGUGUGAGACCCCAAGCCAGGAGAGACCCAUGACCUCAGGUGCCAUCAGGAGAACUUAAACCUGAAGAAGGGAUCAGCUAUCCCACAACCCAGUGCCCCUCCCAGACAGCACAACAGAAUCUAAGGGGCUACAGGAUGAUUCCAGGAACAGUGCACUACAGGACCACGGACCCAAUUUAUCCCUUUAGACCCGGGGACUCUGUUUAGUUUAAAAAAUGGAAUCCAACAACACUGGGACCCAUAUGGGAUGGGCCCCAUAUUGUAAUCUUGUCUACUCACUGCUGCUAAAGUUGCAGGAAUCGUGCCUUGGAUUCACCACAGUUGGCUGAAACUGGUAGCCCAAGACAAGUGGACCAGCCAGAAGGACCCAGGCCAUCCAACCCAGCUGAUCCUAUGAUGGGACCGAGGUGCCAAUGAAGACUACAACAGCCCUGCUCUGGUCACUUCAGAAGCUGACCAGUCUACACACGGUGGAAGCUUGAGGAAACAACAGCCCUGUUCUAGUCACCCCAGAAGCUGACUCGUCUAUGUACGGCCAAAGCUCGAGGCAUCAUCAGGAAAGUAAAAGUGGUUAGAAAUCUUACGUCUGGAAACUUUCCUUGUAAUAUUAAUUGUUUUACUAUUGUCCUGUUGCUUUGCUCAACCUCCUCCUCUAGGAAAGGACCUCUUCUCUCCAUGCUAGGUAUAAACAUGUUAUUCAUUACUUUUGCUAUUCCCUUUAACCACGUUAAAGGGAGAAUCCUUAGAAGGAUGCCCCCACUGCACUGACAAUACGUAGACAGGAAGCACCAUGACUAGAACCCUGUUCUACCACUUAUUAUAGGUAUGCAGGGACCCAUUGAGGAACUUGUACACACAACCAGAUAACCUACUCAAUCUGCAACCCAGGAAGUGGCCAGCCUUAUAUAUGUUAUGACCCAAAGUCCUUACCUAGAACCUAGUUGGAGGUUCAUGUCAGGUCAAAAGAAAUAAAAGGGGAAUAACCAUAAAGAAUUAAAGAUAAUGAAUGGCCACCUGAAAGAAUAAUGCAAUACUAUGGCCCAGCCACAUGGGCAGAUGGAUCAUGGAGAUACCGCACCCCUAUUUACAUGCUAAAUCACAUCAUAUGGUUGCAGGCAGUACUGGAGAUCAUUACGAAUGAUACUGCAAGAGCCUUAAAUUUGCUGGCUCGGAAAUCUACAGAAAUGAGAAAUGCCGUUUAUCAAAAUAGACUGGCUUUAGACUACCUCCUAGCCCAAGAGGGAGGAGUAUGUAGAAAGUUCAGCCUAACUAAUUGCUGUCUAAAAAUCGAUGACAACGGAAAGGUCGUCAAACAAAAAGCUGCAAGAAUCCAAAAAUUAGCCCAUAUUCCAGUCAAGACUUAGAAAGGAUGGUCUCCAGAUUCCCUCUUCAGGGGUUAGUUCUCAUCCCUUGCAGAAUUUAAAACCUUAGUAAGAAUAGUUCUAGCCAUAUUAGGAGUCUGCCUCAUACUCCCUUGUCUCUUACCCCUCCUUGUCAAAAACAUCUAAAUGGCCACAGAGGCUCUUGUAACCAGGCAAACUACUACACAACUAAUGACCCUAACUAAAUAUCAGCCUUUGCCAAAUGAAGAAAACUUGCCUUUUCAUGAAAAAUUAAGUCAUAGUGAUGCUAUUAAACGUCAUUUAUAAAAAGCGUCAAAGGGGGAAAUGAAGUAGAGGAUGUAAAGAAAACUAGUCCUUAUCCCCUCUCCUCCCAUAGAGCAAUGAUGGGAAAAACAAUUUUUCCUCCUCUCCUAGCUUCCUCCUCCCCUUAGUAAUCCUUCCUUAGUGAAACUCAAGGUUACUUCACAACAACUCCAGUUUCUCUGUUCUGGAUAACAUGACAAGGUUACAAGACGAGCUUGAGUAAGACAUGUACCAGCUGCAAGGCCUGCUUUAGUUUGAUAAAUUCAUGUUUCCCUUCCAGUGAAGCUGCAAGGUCAGCAUAACCUGUCACUGUUUGAUUAACUGCCUCUGUUCUGCUUCUGUGAGCCUGCUUACUUGCACCACGAGCUUUGCGCCACUAGAUGGCCCAUGCAUGUAUAAAAGACAAGCCCUGUCUUAGUCCAAGGCUCAGCUUUUUGGAUGCGAAUCCAUUGUGCCAGGGUGCACCUUAAUAAAAUCCUCCAGUUUCACCUACUGGGUGUCUCCUGCCUCCUAUUUUCUCUAACAAAACCACAUAUAAAAUAAAAGUCUAUAUUAAAUGUAAAUAUACAAAUAUAGAAGUCUUUACUAUCAUAAUAAUGAUGCAUAAAACCCUUAAAGCUCCUC
rnacentral:lncRNA from 1 species